UUGCAGAUAUUCUUCAUUAUUCCAUCAUCAUCUCAAACCUCUUGGGUAUAGUGUUUGACUACUACUGUGACCAUAAAUUCCAAUAAAACCUAGGAAAAAUGAAACCACUACAUUAACUGAAAGGAUGUGCCUGUCACAGUCUCCACCAGAAGCUUUAUCUUACUACAGAGUCCAGAUGCAUUAAGGCUGUGUUCGAGCCAUGAUCUUCCUCUGAAGAAGAAAUGAAGAAGAAAUUUAUCUUAUUUUUGGAUAUAGUGUUCUUAGUUGGCAGUUUAAUUAUUAUUUUUACUUCAUCACUUUGUAUACGUCAUCGCACUUUCUCCUGGCCUAUAAGAUCUCUCCUGAGAAAUUUUACGUUCUACUUUACUGGAACUUCAUUAAAUAUUAUUUGCAUCAUU
rnacentral:lncRNA from 1 species